ACGCGUUCAAAAUAAUCUUUUAUUUUGAAAGUGUCAUUUGAUGCCCCGAUGGUUCAGAUUCUCUUCCGGUGUAAACAGAAAAACUACUUCUUACUUGUGCGUCAGCGGAGACGGAGGAGCGCGAUGUGGCCGCAGGGUUAGUUCAGAGAGAUUAAAGGCGAUCAGCUGGAUUUCCUUCAUGAUGAAGAUGAAGAUGUGUGUGCUGUUUGUGAUCCUCGCUUUCGUGUCCCAGCAUGCAUCAGGGGUGGAGGUGUUUGAGGCCGAGGAGUCUGUCCUGCUGCCCUGUAAGCUUGUUGUUCCUAAGGAUCAUGCAAUCGUGUGGAAACGUGAAGAUCUGACUUCUCAGAUCGUUCACGCCAUUGUGGAGGGAAAAGAUGAUCUUAGGAACCAAAACCCUCAUUACCGCAACCGAACAUCAAUGAGAGCCCUGCAGACUGGAGACCUCAGCCUCACUCUGAGGAACCCCACGUUCACUGACAGUGGGACCUACACCUGUGCCACCCGCAUCCAUGGAGAGGACAAGGAGAAAACUCAAGCCCAGCUGAAGGUCAAAGUGGGUCAGCUGACACCACUGGAGGUGAUGGAGGGGGCGCCGUCUGUCCUGCUGCCCUACACACACACAUGCUGUCUGGGUGAGGUUCUCAAAGUGGAGUGGAUCUUUGUGACGAAUGAAAACAAGAUGGUGUGUGUGUUUGACAACGGUCAUAUCAAACAUGACCAACAACAUAAGGAUUACAGAGAGCGCGCAGAGAUGGAGUCAUUCCCACCCAAGGAGAAGAAGACAGACCAGCUGAAUCGGCCUGAAGUUGACCUCAGUCUGACCCUGAGGAACCCCGUCUGUGCAGAUGGAGGAGUUUACCUCUGCAUCAUCCACGACAAGGCUGUGAACACCAUGAAACUCAAGCUAGUGCCGCUCCUGGUCAGAGAGCCCCUGAUGACGACCAUUAGAGCUUCACUCGGGAGAGGCAACAGUGCGGCUUCCAAGCCUUUGCCUCCAUUUCGUGUGUCUAAAGAAAAGAAGAACGUUGGAGAAUCUCAUCUACUGAACAGUCAGCCAGUCUGAUGUGAUGAAGCUGGAGAUGAUGAAGAGGAGGCUGUCUGUCAGCUCGUUCUUCUCCAUGGAUGUAAAACAGGAAGCUCAGUGUAAAAGCUGAAGCUGUCUCUCUCAUGUAUGAACUAAAGAUGGAGCGUUGUUCUCCUCAGUUUCUUCUUCUGUCUGCUGCAGACUCUGCAUUGAUCACAUGAUCCAUCCGCUGUCUGCAUGUUAGUGGAUCAGCAUCAUGCAUGUUCAUGCAGCCCCUCUGUGAUCUUCACACUGAGCAUCAUCGUCGUCUGACUGUCAGAGAGGACCAAUCAGAGCUCAGCUCUUGGCUGUGUCUGCAGACUUACCACAGAUCAGCUCAAAGCUGUGUGUAACAUGUCCUCAGAGGUCAGCUAGAUCAGCUCAGUGUGACGCUCUCAGAGGAACCUUUAACUUCACUCACACGUCCACCUGAGAUCACAGGGAGGGUGGAGGUGUUCACCUGUGCUGCAGUGUUUUUAAAUAAAGCUUCUUUAGACUGUGUGUGUGUGUGUGUGUGUGUGUGUGCGUGUCUCCAAACAGGACUGCAAGGUUUGGGCAACCUGCCUGACUCAAUCAGGCGGGUUUUCCCAGCAUCCCUCUGGGAAAAGGUCAAAUACAUAUUAUGAGAGAUGCAAGUGGAGGGCACGCACACACACACACACACACACACACACACACACACACACACACACACACACAGAGUGACCACUCUAUCUGCAAUAUAUGAUGAGACUUAUUUAAACGAAUGUUAGGCAAUUAUUGCUAUUGCGUGCAAAAUGAAAGCACUGCGUUGUUUGUUUUAUUUGUUUUUUGGUCUUUUAUUUUGGAAAAUCGUUUGGGAAGUAAGAGGUUUUAGUCAAACCCAGCUGAGGAGCUAAUGUAAUUUUGCCAGUGUGUAGAAGUGCACAGCAGCUCACGUGUAACACUUAGCAGUGUCAUUGUUUUUCAUUUAAACAUAAAAAUAAAAAACUUUGUUGCUCAGACUCUGAAUGUGUAUUUUUAUGUGAGCAAACAUUUACUCUGACUCUCCUGGGGCCAUGCCGCACAUAGUGAGACGUCACUGCUGACAAAGCGUCUCAGCCCGCUCUCAGAAACUGGACUAUCAUGAAG
ensembl:lncRNA